GAUCUCAAAUCAGGAGGACUCCCGCGAAC
rnacentral:rRNA from 1 species